CUUACCAUGCAGACAAACAUCCCACAGUCAUAGUUAUUUUCUUGCACAAGCACUGCCUUUAGAAAGGGAAUUUGGAAGAAGCCAUUGACUGACAUGCUUUCUUUGCAAGACAUAUGAAGGAACAGUUACUUCAAAAAUGCUUCUAAUUUAAUAAAAUGCCACACAACUUAA